rnacentral:rRNA from 1 species
AUUUGUGGCCAUACCAGCCUGUCAUUGCCCGAUCCCGUUAGAUCUCGGAAGUUAAGCAUGUCUGGGCCUGGUUAGUAGUUGGAUGGGAAUUCCAGGUGCCACAGUGA